UCUGUGACUCGUCACUGUUCGCAGAGACACUGCAGCAGAGGGACCUGGCGCCUGGCUCACACAGCUGAUCUGAUGACACUGCCGCCCCUAGAUCUGGGGGACUACGGAAAGAAUGACUGUCAGGGCCAAUGAGCCCACAGCACCUGGAGCACCCCACAGAGGAGGCUAUGGUGAUUGAUCUACCUUUCUUCAUGAUCCCGAGGCCACCCAGCUUUAGCUGCUACGGAUUCGCCCUUUGGGCUCCAGAGUGUGGUGUCUCCUGGAAAGUUAGAAGGGCCAACCACCCUACAAGGUCCUCGCCGCACACCUGAGCCAGCCACCAGCGCUGAUGACCGGCAGAGCUACCUGUCUCCCUUCAGCUUCCUGCGCUCUCCCGCCCAGUGCGUGAGCACUGACGUCACAGGCCUCUGUGU